rfam:Oryza rufipogon genomic scaffold, chr10
AAAAACUCAAUUCCUGAGUUUCCAUGUCUAACAUUUGACCGUUCAUCUUAUUUAAAAAAAUUAUGAAAAAAUUUAAAAAGAUAAGUCAUGCAUAAAGUAUUAUUCAUGUUUUAUCAUCUAACAAUAAUAAAAAUACUAAUAAAAAUUUUUCAUAUAAGAUAGACAGUCAAACGUUGAACCCAAAAACCGAAGAAUUCGGUCAUU